GUGGAUCCAGUUGAGAAUGGGUGUCAACAUGUAGCUAAUGUUACUCACUGGACCAGACAUUCGUUCAUAGAACAGCUUGCGAAUAACUAUUUAUUUUAAUUUUUGUGUCGACAACAACUCUAAAGUUUAGUCAUGGUGUGGUGCUCAGUACCUGGAUGUGCAAACACAAGCAAGCACAGGCUGCUGGGGUAACAUUUCAUCGGUUAAUUUACGAAGAAGUCGAGCAGAGAGUCUGAACCCAUCAACAUCAAGCUCAGUACCACGAACAUGUAGCUGGCAAGAGUGGUGGCCCUCCAGGAAUGGCUGGCUGGCAUCUUGGUUAUCGGAGCCAUACAGGGCCAUUUGUCAAUCAGCAUACAGAUUGCAUGGAAUCUAUUGUAGUCUGACUCUGUUGGUGUAAAUACUACAAUUCUACAGGCUAAAAUCACAUCUAAAGGCUGAGGUUGGAUUGUAUUAGGAAAUAAAUUAAUGCCUCAUUUCUUGAAUCCAAUCCAACACAGUUUUAGUCUUCAGUAUAAAGCAGCAAGCUUCUAAUUUGAAACAUCGUAAAAUUAAAAUGGAGAAAACAUUUCUGUUCCCAAGAUGGUUGCACUACAGAGCAAAAAAAAUAAAAAAGUUCCUCCAAUCUGGCAACCUAUUCAAUUAA